CGCCAUGGGCCUGGAGCACGAGGCGGACACACAGUGUCUCCACAUCACCAGGAUGUUGCGGGCCCAGUACUGCCAGCUGAUGCAGCCUCCAGGGGCCAGUAUGGACGCCGUGGGACAGGACUCUCCUAAGAUGUCCGCCGGUCAGAUGCUGCUGGUGGCCUUCGAUGGCAUGUUUGCUCAGCUGGAGACCGCCUUCGGGCAGCUCACAGAGAAGAUGAUUUCCAUGGAG